rnacentral:rRNA from 1 species
AUGCCAGCACCCAAGGGGACGAGGAGGAGCCUCGUACUGAGGACCGUGGAGCGGUGCAAGUCCGGGACCGGGCGAAGCGGCGGCGCAGCGUCGGCGGUGGCCGCCGGGCGCUUCUCGGUGUACGUCGGGGCGGAGCGGGAGCGGUUCAUGGUGCGCACCGACUGCGCCAACCACCCGCUGUUCCGGCGGCUCCUCGACGACGCCGAGCGCGAGUACGGGUACGCGUCGCAGGGCCCGCUCGCGCUGCCGUGCGACGUCGGCACGUUCCUCGGCGUCCUGUGGCAGAUGGACCACGGACACCACCACGACGACGACGACGACAGUGCCGGCGGCGAGGAGAUCCGGGAGGCGGCGUCGCCGAUAUGCGGCUUGCUGCUGGGUGGCCGCGGCAAGUGCCGGGCGGCUGGGUACCGCCGGAUGCUCAGCCGGGCGAAGACGUCGUGGGCCACCGGGCAGCAGCUUCUCCCACGGUUCACACUUGGCAGUUAG